rnacentral:rRNA from 1 species
AUUGAACGCUGGCGGCAGGCCUAACACAUGCAAGUCGAACGAGUGGCGGACGGGUGAGUAAUGUCUGGGAAACUGCUCGAUGGAGGGGGUUAACUACUGGAAACGGUAGCUAAUACCGCAUACCAUCGGAUUUGCCCAGAUGGGAUUAGCUAGUAGGUGGGGUAACGGCUCACCUAGGCGACGAUCCCUAGCUGGUCUGAGAGGAUGACCAGCCACACUGGGACUGAGACACGGUCCAGACUCCUACGGGAGGCAGCAGUGGGGAAUAGUGCACAAUGGGCGCAAGCCUGAUGCAGCCAUGCCGCGUGUAUGAAGAAGGCCUUCGGGUUGUAAAGUACUUUCAGCGGGGAGGCGUUACCCGCAGAAGAAGCACCGGCUAACUCCGUGCCAGCAGCCGCGGUAAUUC